UAGCCUUUCCGGUGGAUCACUAGGCUCGUGGAUCGAUGAAGAACGCAGCAAACUGCGAUAAGUUUUGCGAACUGCAGCAGCCUUGAGCAUAAAAGUUUUGAACGCAUAUUGCCGCAUAGGGGUCAAACCCUUUGCUAUGUCUGGUUCAGGGUCAUUAUCUUUCAAAGCGAAAGCUUUAUUGUAUAAUUGCUUUUGUGGCUUCUUUAUGUUUUAAAUUGAUUGUUAGAUAUGUUUAAUUGUUCGCAUGUAUCAUCAACAAUAUUGAUUUUUUGACCUGAACUCAGUCGAGAGCACCCGCUGAACUUAAGCAUAUCAGUAAGCGGAGGAAAAGAAACUAAACAGGAUUCCCCUAGUAACGGCGAUUGAAUAGGGAAAUGUCCAUCGCUAAAUCAUUUUGCCUAAGGCAUUAUGAGGUGUAGCGUAUAAGCCGUAAUUUUUAAUCUUUUGUCUCAAAUAAGUCCCCUUGACAGGGGUUCCACAGAAGGUGCAAGUCCUGUACAUUGAGAUAAUUGAUCGAUAUUUACGUGCUUUAGAGUCGGGUUGUUUGGGAUCGCAGCCCAAAGUCGGUGGUAAACUUCAUCUAAGACUCAAUAUUGCCACGAGACCGAUAGCAAACAAGUACUGUGAAGGAAAGUUGCAAAGCACUUUGAAGAGAGAGUUAAAGAGGACGUGAAACCGGAGAGGUGGAAACGGAUAGAGUCGGCGUAUCUUUCAAGUAUUCAUUUACAUUAUUUUUAUGUUGUGAUCUCUGAGCUCCAGAUUGGGACAGAAAGAAGCAUCAUAAUUUUCUGUGAUGCAUUUGCUUGUUUGGUGCUUGGGGAUGUUUGAGGCAGAUUUGUAACCGCCGUUUUGAGGCCAGCUUGCUGGUACCCAAACAGCGUUAGCAUCUUUUGUCUUGGACAUUUGAGUAUGGUUUACGGGCAUUUAUUGGUUCGAUCUGAUUGUAAGUUACGGUCGCAUGCGACACGUGCUUUUCAUUUAGAUCGGUCCAGUUAAUGCUCUCGUACUCGCUCCCCAUGUAAAAGCCGGUCAUCUAUCCGACCCGUCUUGAAACACUGACCAAGGAGUUUAUCGUGUGCGCAAGUUUUUGGGUGUUAAAAACCUAAAAGCGAAAUGAAAGUAAAUGGCUCUUUAGAGUCUGACGUGCGAUCUUGUAAAAAAGGGCAGCAUGGCCCCAUUCUAACUGUUUACAGUAGGGUGGAGGAAGAGCGUACGCGGUGAGACCCGAAAGAUGGUGAACUAUUCCUGAGCAGGACGAAGCCAGAGGAAACUCUGGUGGAAGUCCGAAGCGGUUCUGACGUGCAAAUCGAUCGUCUGACUUGGGUAUAGGGGCGAAAGACUAAUCGAACCAUCUAGUAGCUGGUUCCCUCUGAAGUUUCCCCCAGGAUAGCUGGAGCUCAUUAGUAGUUAUACUCGGUAAAGCGAAUGAUUAGAGGACUUGGGAACGAAAUGUUCUUAACCUAUUCUCAAACUCUAAAUGGGUAUGAUGUCAAAGUUGCUUGAUUUUGAACUUUGGCGUUGAAUACGAGUUCCAAGUGGGCCAUUUUUGGUAAGCAGAACUGGCGAUGUGGGAUGAACCAAACGCGGAGUUGAGGUGCCAAAGUGCCCGCUCAUUAGACACCAUAAAAGGUGUUGGUUGAUACAGACAGCAGGACGGUGGCCAUGGAAGUCGGAAUCCGCUAAGGAGUGUGUAACAACUCACCUGCCGAAUCAACUAACCCUGAAAAUGGAUGGCGCUGGAGCGGGCCACCUAUACUCUGCCGUCAUAUGCUUGUAUUUUCCGUGAAAAGUCUUGCAAUGACGUGUAAGAGGGUCGUAGUGGUUGCAAUGAAGGCUUUGGGUGUGCACCCAGCUGGAGCUUCCACUAGUGCAGAUCUUGGUGGUAGUAGCAAAUAUUCAAGUGAGAUCCUUGAAGACUGAAGUGGAGAAGGGUUCCACGUGAACAGUAGUUGAAUGUGGGUCAGUCGAUCCUAAGGCACCGGCUAAAGCCGUCUAGACACUGCGGGGAGAUGAGAUACUUAACGGUAUAUUGUCUACUCGGUUGCCGAAAGGGAAGUGGGUUAAUAUUCCCACACCAGGCAUGGGAGAUGGUGAUCCGCAAGGAUUACUUUGCGCGGUGACGCAAACGAACUCGUAGACCUCGUGUGGAGUCCGGGCCAGAGUUCUCUUUUCUGGUUUAGAGAUCAUGUCCCUGGAAGUGGCUCAGCCUGAGAUAGGGAUGCUGGUCUCGUAAAGCGCAGCGGUUCCUGUUGUGUCCCGUGUGCUCCACAUGAGCCGUGAAAAUACGAGGGAGGCAAUUUAAAAUCUCCAGCCUGAUCGUACCCAUAUCCGCAGCAGGUCUCCAAGGUGAACAGCCUCUAGUCGAUAGAAUAAUGUAGGUAAGGGAAGUCGGCAAAUUAGAUUCGUAACUUCGGGAAAAGAAUUGGCUCUAAAGGUUGGGUCAGUCGGGCUGUUGUGUGAAACAGGUGGACUUUGCUCGUGGCUGCUUGAUCUUCCCUUCGGGGCGGCGCUUGUGGACUAGUAGUGAGGACUGCUUGUGGAGCGCUUCAGCUGCGUACUAUUUCGCAAGAUAUAGUACUUCGAUUGGCGCUGAACAACCAGUUUAGAACUGGCACGAACUCCGGGAAUCCGACUGUCUAAUUAAAACAGAGGAGACGGAUGGUCUUUGCAGGACGUUGACCGUGUCUGAUUUCUGCCCAGUGCUCUGAAUGUUAAGCCAAGGAAACUUGAUUAAGCGCGGGUAAACGGCGGGAGUAACUAUGACUCUCUUAAGGUAGCCAAAUGCCUCGUCGGCUAACUACCGACGCGCACGGGUUUGAGCGAGAUUGCCCCCCAAUGGACAAGCCUGGGAACGGCCUAGCAUCCACAAUAUAACCAUUGAUGGUAGCCGGGUUGCUAAAAUCUCGUUGGUAAGGGGCUAUUUGUGUAUGUCCUAACACAAUUUCCCAGCCCCCGAGGCAUGCCGUAAAAGCCCUCGGUUGACCGUCAGUUAUUUAAGUAUUCUGACGAGAAAGGGAAAAUCUGCCGAUUCAUCGAUUGGCUCAGACUUAAGCUUUUUCAUUUGUAUGCUUUUUCUUCCUCUAAAUUUUUCUUUUUGCAGAACUAAUCGAAAUGUUUAAAUUCACAUUGGAGGCUAGUUCUCCUGAAGAAUUGAAAAAAUUGGUGGAUUUUUGGGCUCAGGCCCAUCCUUGUAAGUAUUUUGUCAGAAAAAGCAAGUAUCCAAUCCUUUUUUUUCAGCUAUUUUGAGUGGUGGUGGAGGUGCUGCUGCUGCAAACAGCAACAACAAAACCAUUACAAAAAAUAAGAGGAAGAAGAAGUGGAAGAAGAAAAACAAAAAGAAAUUGACAUUGGAGGAGGGGAAGGAGAAGGAGAAAGAAAAAGAGGAGGUGGAGGUGCUGCAAUUAUUUUGAGUGGUGGUGGUGCAAUUGACCAAGUGUCGUAGGGUUCAGGCAAUAGGGUUCCCCCAGGCAAUCAAAUUUCACCAGGCAUUUUUGGUUUAUGAGUCUGUGACGAUCCGAUUAAAAAUUGCCUCAGGCAAAGUAGCAAAGUGCAAUUGACCAAGUGUCGUAGGGUUCAGGCAAUAGGGUUCCCCCAGGCAAUCAAAUUUCACCAGGCAUUUUUGGUUUAUGAGUCUGUGACGAUCCGAUUAAAAAUUGCCUCAGGCAAAGUAGACCAAAGUGCAAUUGACCAAGUGUCGUAGGGUUCAGGCAAUAGGGUUCCCCCAGGCAAUCAAAUUUCACCAGGCAUUUUU